rnacentral:rRNA from 1 species
GAGUUUGAUCCUGGCUCAGGACGAACGCUGGCGGCGUGCCUAACACAUGCAAGUGGAGCGACGAACCGGGCUUCGGCCCGGGGCAAAGCCGCGAACGGGUGAGUAACACGUGGGUAACCUGCCCCGAUGAUUGGGACAACCCGAGGAAACUCGGGCUAAUACCAAAUGUGCCCUCCGACCGUAAGGNCGNUGGGGAAAGGAAGCUUCGGCCUCCGCAUCGGGAUGGGCCCGCGGCCCAUUAGCUUGUUGGUGAGGUAACGGCUCACCAAGGCUUCGAUGGGUAGCUGGUCUGAGAGGACGAUCAGCCACACUGGGACUGAGACACGGCCCAGACUCCUACGGGAGGCAGCAGUGGGGAAUCUUGCGCAAUGCGCGNAAGCGUGACGCAGCAACGCCGCGUGGGGGAAGACGGCCUUCGGGUUGUAAACCCCUUUCAGUUGGGACGAAGCUUCGCCGGUGAAUAGCCGGCCGAAGUGACGGUACCU